ensembl:lncRNA
UCUCUCGGCUGAACACACGCAUGCACACGCACACACACACACACAUGUGCAUGUACACUGACACAGAGCUUCAUGGAUUCAUUAAAGAAACGGGAACGCUGACGUGUUUCUGUGACGGGAAACAACGGGUCAGAGGGGACGUGAGACGCUGCAUGUAGAGGCUCGAUGAGGAACAGCUGCAGACUCCAGCAUGUCGGUCUGACACAGUCCUCGUUUAUAAAGUAUAACAUAAACUAAUGUGAGCCUGUGAGCCCGGCCAACCAACCGCGUGACGUCACACUCCGUGCUGACAGAAGAUGGCGCUGAACAUGUUUUUAACACUUGAAGCACUGAUUUCUUAAAGCCAGCGUCACAGACAGAGUGACAGCUGUGGGAGUGUCUGAGAGCAGGUCCGUGGGGUAAAGGAGGUGUGCACCACUGAGGGCUGACGGAGGCCACUCAGUGACUUCUUCAUGACCUCUGUGGUUGCGUGCUGUACUUCUGGAUUACCAAAACGCAAGUUUAGAAGGAAAGUGACACACCUGCUUAGCCCCACCCCGUCAGUGAGGUCACAGUUUCAGGUGAGGUCCUCAGGUGUGCUGAUGGUGCUGAUGUUGGGUUUUUUUUUUUCAGAAGCGGCUCUGUUUGGAGGCGGAGCUCCAGAUGUCCGACUGUCCAAUGGAGACGUCGCAGAGCAGUCCUGCGACCAAUCAGCAGCCGGAUCAACAGGUACGGCCCACACCUGUUCUGCUCUGCUGUCCGAGGUGUCUCAGAGGAGAACCGGGUCACUUCAACCACAUCAUGGGCCUCUGAAGCUCCACCCAUUCUCCUGCAACCAGCCGUCCAAUCACAUUGAUGCUUCAGGUGCUUCACUAAAAUGGUGCUGCUGGAAGAUGUCAUCAAGGCCCCACCCCACCUUCACAUCGUUGUCAAGGAGACGGUUUAACGUUUCCAUCCAGUGAUGCAUUCAGGACCAGCAGUACUCCUCAGACUUAAGUUCUGAAAUCUCUGAUGUCCUUGUAUCCCUGAACACACCACUGAGUGUGAGCGUUUACCUGAGCUUUAAGCCCACCCCCUCUCCUGUGUGAUAUGUGCAACAGUCCAAUCAAUGAUCAAUAACUGUGAUUGACGUGGUGGUGCGUUCACUGUCUCCGUUUAAAGGGCUUUCACACGGUGAAGACUUGUGAUGUGUUUACAGGAAAAAUGCCAGUAGAAUAUUUUUUAACUCCAGUAUAGAACCGACUGAAAGGCUUAACGAGGUGUUAAUGAGAGUUUACUAUAAGGGGAAGGAAAAUCCAUGUGGUUUUUCAAAAUAAGAGUCUUCGUGUCUGUACAUUUCUAUUUUUCUGAGGCAGAUUUGUAUAUUUUUUACUCUGAAUUUGACUGAAUGUAAAAGCAGCUCCCUAUUUUUGAUGACAUCACUUCCGCUAUCUGAGGCCAGCAUUUGUACUGAUUUCAGAAUAAAAGCUUUGACUGUGAA